ACUGGAACCUUGAAUCUUAGAGAAUUUAUUUUGAAAAUAAAAGUUUAUGGGU
rnacentral:tRNA from 1 species